rfam:Stanieria cyanosphaera PCC 7437, complete genome.
CGGGAUGUAGCGCAGCUUGGUAGCGCACCGCUUUCGGGAGGCGGGGGCCGCAGGUUCAAAUCCUGUCAUCCCGA